GCCUCUGGGGGCAAAUGGUUAAUGCACUCAGGUGUUAACUGAAAGGUUGGUGGUUUGAGUCCAUCCACAGGCA
rnacentral:tRNA from 1 species